GAUGAACGCUGGCGGCGUGCCUAAUACAUGCAAGUCGAGCGAACAGACGAGGAGCUUGCUCCUCUGACGUUAGCGGCGGACGGGUGAGUAACACGUGGAUAACCUACCUAUAAGACUGGGAUAACUUCGGGAAACCGGAGCUAAUACCGGAUAAUAUAUUGAACCGCAUGGUUCAAUAGUGAAAGACGGUUUUGCUGUCACUUAUAGAUGGAUCCGCGCCGCAUUAGCUAGUUGGUAAGGUAACGGCUUACCAAGGCAACGAUGCUUAGCCGACCUGAGAGGGUGAUCGGCCACACUGGAACUGAGACCCGGUCCCGACCCCUACGGGAGGCACCAGUAGGGAAUCUUCCGCAAUGGGCGAAAGCCUGACGGAGCAACGCCGCGUGAGUGAUGAAGGUCUUCGGAUCGUAAAACUCUGUUAUUAGGGAAGAACAAAUGUGUAAGUAACUAUGCACGUCUUGACGGUACCUAAUCAGAAAGCCACGGCUAACUACGUG
rnacentral:rRNA from 1 species